GACGAACGCUGGCGGCGUGCUUAACACAUGCAAGUCGAACGGAAAGGCCCUGCUUUUGUGGGGUGCUCGAGUGGCGAACGGGUGAGUAACACGUGAGUAACCUGCCCUUGACUUUGGGAUAACUUCAGGAAACUGGGGCUAAUACCGGAUAGGAGCUCCUGCUGCAUGGUGGGGGUUGGAAAGUUUCGGCGGUUGGGGAUGGACUCGCGGCUUAUCAGCUUGUUGGUGGGGUAGUUGCUUACCAAGGCUUUGACGGGUAGCCGGCCUGAGAGGGUGAACGGCCACCUUGGGACUGAGAUACGGACCAGAAUGCUACGGGAGGCAGCAGUGGGGAAUAUUGCACAAUGGGCGGAAGCCUGAUGCAGAAACGCCGCGUGCGGGAUGACGGCCUUCGGGUUGUAAACCGCUUUCGAAUGUGACGAAGCGUGAGUGACGGUAAUGGGUAAAGAAGCACCGGCUAACUACGUG
rnacentral:rRNA from 1 species